AAAAUCGAUUGCUCUCUGCCACAAACCGGAGACCCUUCUUGGGCGAUCCACUUUCUCAGCAUGAGGAAGGUUUUUCUCUCUCUCUUCUUUUUCUACUAAACCUUCCGCUCCUAAACCCAUUCCUUGUGUGUAUCCCUGUCCUGAAUUCUUUCUCGACCAUGACAAAGAACCAGCUUCCACUGCAGAGAGGUCCAUUCCAACUGCUCAGAUGAAGCUGAAAAGAGCCCGACUCGCCGAUGAUCUCAAUGAAAAAAUUGCUCUACGACCAGGGCCACUGGAGCUGGUGGAAAAAAACAUUCUUCCUGUGGAUUCUGCUGUGAAAGAGGCCAUAAAAGGUAACCAGGUGAGUUUCUCCAAAUCCACGGAUGCUUUUGCCUUUGAAGAGGACAGCAGCAGUGAUGGGCUUUCUCCGGAUCAGACUCGAAGUGAAGACCCCCAAAACUCAGCGGGAUCCCCGCCAGACGCUAAAGCCUCAGAUACCCCUUCGACAGGUUCUCUGGGGACAAACCAGGAUCUUGCUUCUGGCUCAGAAAAUGACAGAAAUGACUCAGCCUCACAGCCCAGCCACCAGUCAGAUGCGGGGAAGCAGGGGCUUGGCCCCCCCAGCACCCCCAUAGCCGUGCAUGCUGCUGUAAAGUCCAAAUCCUUGGGUGACAGUAAGAACCGCCACAAAAAGCCCAAGGACCCCAAGCCAAAGGUGAAGAAGCUUAAAUAUCACCAGUACAUUCCCCCAGACCAGAAGGCAGAGAAGUCCCCUCCACCUAUGGACUCAGCCUACGCUCGGCUGCUCCAGCAACAGCAGCUGUUCCUGCAGCUCCAAAUCCUCAGCCAGCAGCAGCAGCAGCAGCAACACCGAUUCAGCUACCCAGGGAUGCACCAAGCUCAGCUUAAGGAACCAAAUGAACAGAUGGUCAGAAAUCCAAACUCUUCUUCAACGCCACUGAGCAAUACCCCCUUGUCUCCUGUCAAAAACAGUUUUUCUGGACAAACUGGUGUCUCUUCUUUCAAACCAGGCCCACUCCCACCUAACCUGGAUGAUCUGAAGGUCUCUGAAUUAAGACAACAGCUUCGAAUUCGGGGCUUGCCUGUGUCAGGCACCAAAACGGCUCUCAUGGACCGGCUUCGACCCUUCCAGGACUGCUCUGGCAACCCAGUGCCGAACUUUGGGGAUAUAACGACUGUCACUUUUCCUGUCACACCCAACACGCUGCCCAAUUACCAGUCUUCCUCUUCUACCAGUGCCCUGUCCAAUGGCUUCUACCACUUUGGCAGCACCAGCUCCAGCCCCCCGAUCUCCCCAGCCUCCUCUGACCUGUCAGUCGCUGGGUCCCUGCCGGACACCUUCAAUGAUGCCUCCCCCUCCUUCGGCCUGCACCCGUCCCCAGUCCACGUGUGCACGGAGGAAAGUCUCAUGAGCAGCCUGAACGGGGGCUCUGUUCCUUCUGAGCUGGAUGGGCUGGACUCCGAGAAGGACAAGAUGCUGGUGGAGAAGCAGAAGGUGAUCAAUGAACUCACCUGGAAACUCCAGCAAGAGCAGAGGCAGGUGGAGGAGCUGAGGAUGCAGCUUCAGAAGCAGAAAAGGAAUAACUGUUCAGAGAAGAAGCCGCUGCCUUUCCUGGCUGCCUCCAUCAAGCAGGAAGAGGCUGUCUCCAGCUGUCCUUUUGCAUCCCAAGUACCUGUGAAAAGACAAAGCGGCAGCUCAGAGUGUCACCCGCCGGCUUGUGAAGCUGCUCAACUCCAGCCUCUUGGAAAUGCUCGUUGUGUGGAGUCCUCAGAUCAAACCAAUGUACUUUCUUCCACAUUCCUCAGCCCCCAGUGUUCCCCUCAGCAUUCACCGCUGGGGGCUGUGAAAAGCCCACAGCACAUCAGUUUGCCCCCAUCACCCAACAACCCUCACUUUCUGCCCUCAUCCUCCGGGGCCCAGGGAGAAGGGCACAGGGUCUCCUCGCCCAUCAGCAGCCAGGUGUGCACUGCACAGAACUCAGGAGCACACGAUGGCCAUCCUCCAAGCUUCUCUCCCCAUUCUUCCAGCCUCCACCCGCCCUUCUCUGGAGCCCAAGCAGACAGCAGUCAUGGUGCCGGGGGCAACCCUUGUCCCAAAAGCCCAUGUGUACAGCAAAAGAUGGCUGGUUUACACUCUUCUGAUAAGGUGGGGCCAAAGUUUUCAAUUCCAUCCCCAACUUUUUCUAAGUCAAGUUCAGCAAUUUCAGAGGUAACACAGCCUCCAUCCUAUGAAGAUGCCGUAAAGCAGGUAACCAUGUGAUUUGUUCUUUAUGGAAGAAUAGACUGACUCAAUGAACAGACAUUGUUUGAUAUGAUUAAACUUCACGCAGUUUGUAAAUUC
rnacentral:sRNA from 1 species